rnacentral:lncRNA from 1 species
AAUUUAGGCAUCAAAAAGGAUUGGAAAUGAUGUGCAGAUGUGUUAUCUAAGUCAGCUUUACAAAGUACUACUAUUCAUAGUUCAUAUAUCAUUUAAGUCCAUCCUUUCUUAAACAUCUUGAAAUAACUGAUGCUAAUUAAUAAUACACUUUUGGCUGGCAAAAAAAAUUAAAUUUGUCUAAUUAUCGUUUAAAUAUUUUAUUAAUAUUGUCUAAGAAGCUUUCAAUUGAUAUCAUAGUUUAAUUUUUAUUAGUUUUUUUUGUUAAUUUUAGGAUUUUUUGUAUUUAAGAUUUUUUUCCAUAUUAAGCUUAUAUUUCUUUCACAUAAUAUAUAUAUAUAUAUGUCAUAAAAAUUACCAUCAAAUCAGUUUUACUUUUUUAUUAUUUUAUUUUUAAUGAAAAUACACUUUUAAAUAAUUUAAUUUAAAAUAAAAUUAUAUAUUAAUUUGUUGUAUUCUAACAAUUUGAUUGAUUUAAUUAAUUUGCUUUGGUGGAUAACUUAAAAAGUUUUCAUAUGAAUCGGGGAAAGCAAGCUUAUGUUGUUA